rnacentral:rRNA from 1 species
UAAAGCGAUUCAGCGGGUUACGAUUGACGGAGCGAAGCGACGUCAAAGCGUUCAUUAAAGUCGAGUCGGUUUAAGGAUACGUUCGUUGGGUAGGGGAGCGUUCUGUAAGCCUGUGAAGGUGGCCUGUGAGGGUUGCUGGAGGUAUCAGAAGUGCGAAUGCUGACAUAAGUAACGAUAAAGCGGGUGAAAAGCCCGCUCGCCGGAAGACCAAGGGUUCCUGUCCAACGUUAAUCGGGGCAGGGUGAGUCGACCCCUAAGGCGAGGCCGAAAGGCGUAGUCGAUGGGAAACGGGUUAAUAUUCCCGUACUUGGUGUUACUGCGAAGGGGGGACGGAGAAGGCUAUGUUGGCCGGGCGACGGUUGUCCCGGUUUAAGCGUGUAGGUGUGUGUUCCAGGUAAAUCCGGUUCACUUUAACACUGAGGCGUGAUGACGAGGCACUACGGUGCUGAAGCAACAAAUGCCCUGCUUCCAGGAAAAGCCUCUAAGCAUCAGGUAACAUCAAAUCGUACCCCAAACCGACACAGGUGGUCAGGUAGAGAAUACCAAGGCGCUUGAGAGAACUCGGGUGAAGGAACUAGGCAAAAUGGUGCCGUAACUUCGGGAGAAGGCACGCUGACACGUAGGUGAAGUGAUUUACUCA